rnacentral:rRNA from 1 species
GCCUACGGGGGGCAGCAGUGGGGGAUAUUGCACAAUGGGGGGAACCCUGAUGCAGCGACGCCGCGUGGGCGAUGGAGUGCUUCGGCAUGUAAAGCCCUAUCAGCAGGGAAGAAAAUGACGGUACCUGACUAAGAAGCCCCGGCUAAACACGUGCCAGCAGCCGCGGUAAUACGUAUGGGGCAAGCGUUAUCCGGAUUUACUGGGUGUAAAGGGAGCGUAGACGGCAGAGCAAGUCUGAAGUGAAAGCCCGCGGCCCAACUGCGGGACUGCUUUGGAAACUGCCCGGCUAGAGUGCUGGAGAGGGA